UUUCUCAUCUUCUUUUGGCAUGGAAAGUUGUAGGAGCUUGAUUCAAUAAUCAAGAUCUCUAACUUGUGUUGUUGCCUACAUUAUUAUUGAUCGACCUCAGAUAGUUGUGACUUCUACAUAAGUCCAAUUACGAUUGCUUAACAUAGCACUAAAUUGCCUUAUGACACACUAAUACUAACUAUUAACCAUUAACCAUUAACAUUUAAUUCUUGCACUUUACAUUUAUGCAAUUUACUAUUCUUGUACAUAUUAUUCAUUUGCUUUUUCCCUUUGCUCAUUUGAGCACAUGUUUAUGUUAAUGCAAUUUUCCAUUAACAUUUAAUUCUUGCACUUUACAUUUAUGCAAUUUACUAUUCUUGUACAUAUUAUUCAUUUGCUUUUUCCCUUUGCUCAUUUGAGCACAUGUUUAUGUUAAUGCAAUUU
rnacentral:lncRNA from 1 species